UACGGGGGGGGCAAGCGUUGUUCGGAAUUACUGGGCGUAAAGGGCUCGUAGGCGGCCAACUAAGUCCGACGUGAAAUCCCUCAGCUUAACUGGGGAACUGCGUCUGAUACUGGAUGGCUUGAGAUUGGGAGAGGGAUGCGGAAUUCCAGGUGUAGCGGUGAAAUGCGUAGAUAUCGUAAGGAAGACCAGUGGCGAAGGCGGGUCUCUGGACAGUUCCUGACGCUGAGGCACGAAGGUCAGGGGAGCAAACGGG
rnacentral:rRNA from 1 species